UACGUAGGGUGCGAGCGUUUAAUCGGAAUUACUGGGCGUAAAGGGCGCGUAGGCGGCCUACUAAGUCGGACGGUGAAAUCCCUCGGCUCAACCGGGGAACUGCGUCCGAUACUGGUGGGCUUGAAUCCGGGAGAGGGAUGUGGAAUUCCAGGUGUAGCGGUGAAAUGCGCAGAUAUCAGGAGGAACACCGGUGGCGAAGGCGGCAUCCUGGACCGACUUGACGCCUGAUGAGCGAAAGCUAGGGGAGCAAACGGG
rnacentral:rRNA from 1 species